GAAAAAUAACAUCAAUACAAUCAACUCUGAUUGUGUAAAAACUAAUCGUAAGGCCCUCAGUAGAUCCUGACACACGAUCUGAUGCCUGAUCAUGAACUGAUGCCUAUAACGCAAUGUGGUCCCGCUGUGCUAACGCUGCUAUAAACCCUGAGCUCCAGCACAACGCAUCACUUCCUGUCAGAGAAAUGGAGGAGCAGCCUGAAGCGAUCUGUCGUCCAGCAGCAGAGGAACAUGACGCUUUCGGGCAGACACGCAGCUUUCAGCUAAACAUUUAACCUCCUGCAUCUGUUCAUCUCUGGCGAGAGAUGCUGCUCAAAAAAAUUUGCUCAACGAGAUCGUGACACCAAGCUCACUUAUUUAACUCAAUGUCAUACUGACAAGGGCGUCAUUGAAAUAUUCCUGAUAAAUCCUUAAGUGUCAAUGGGAUUGAUGUUUAUUUUCUCAAAUGUGUGUUUCCAUCAGAAACUGGCGAUGCCAGAUUCAUUAUUGAAUCACUCUCCUGAUCUAAUUGGCCAAACAGGUUUGCAAAUUCAUUCAGACAGUUCAUUUAUGCACUGGAUUGGUUUUUCA
rnacentral:lncRNA from 12 species